CUCUGAGUAGCUCAGUUGGUAAAGAAUCUGCCUGCAAUGCAGGAGACUGGGGUUCGAUUCCCGGGUCAGAAA
rnacentral:tRNA from 1 species